rnacentral:rRNA from 1 species
UACAGAGGUCUCAAGCGUUGUUCGGAUUCAUUGGGCGUAAAGGGUGCGUAGGCGGCUCGGUAAGUCGGGUGUGAAAUCUCGGAGCUUAACUCCGAAACUGCAUUCGAUACUGCCGUGCUUGAGGACUGGAGAGGAGACUGGAAUUUACGGUGUAGCGGUGAAAUGCGUAGAUAUCGUAAGGAAGACCAGUGGCGAAGGCGGGUCUCUGGACAGUUCCUGACGCUGAGGCACGAAGGCCAGGGGAGCAAACGGG